CCUACGGGAGGCAGCAGUGAGGAAUAUUGGUCAAUGGACGAGAGUCUGAACCAGCCAAGUAGCGUGAAGGAUGACUGCCCUAUGGGUUGUAAACUUCUUUUAUAUGGGAAUAAAACAGGGUAUGCAUACCCUCUUGUAUGUACCAUAUGAAUAAGGAUCGGCUAACUCCGUGCCAGCAGCCGCGGUAAUACGGAGGAUCCGAGCGUUAUCCGGAUUUAUUGGGUUUAAAGGGAGCGUAGGUGGAUUGUUAAGUCAGUUGUGAAAGUUUGCGGCUCAACCGUAAAAUUGCAGUUGAAACUGGCAGUCUUGAGUACAGUAGAGGUGGGCGGAAUUCGUGGUGUAGCGGUGAAAGGCUUAGAUAUCACGAAGAACUCCGAGUGCGAAGGCAGCUCACUGGACUGCAACUGACACUGAUGCUCGAAAGUGUGGGUAUCAAACAGGAUUAGAUACCCCGGUAGUC
rnacentral:rRNA from 1 species